ensembl:lncRNA
AGCGAGAACUGGAUAAGGAUAGUGACACAAUUGCAAACAUAGCCACAAAUAAGCCUUUAAAAAAAUGGACAAGUCACAUCUGACACACAUACAUGGUGAUUCUUUAGUUGUUUUGUUUUUUGUUUUUAAAAAGGGCUUUUGUGUCAUGUUUUUAAAAUCGAUGUGCUUUGUGUAUGCAUUAAUAUAAUGAAUGUAUACUAGAGGGUUGAGUUAUGUUGAUGGACCACCACUAAAUUAUUCUGAAUCCACAUUGAAAGUGUUAUUUUAGGCUUUUCUCACACAUCGUGUAUGCCUGUGUGCAGUUGUAACAGCCAUCUUUAGAAUAAGAUGUCUUCAGCAAUCAGUCUUGUUGAAGUGGACAUCGCACAAUUUUUGAUUGAAGGGUCACUUUAUACAUCGGAGGGCCUGCUCUUAUUUCACAUAGUCAACAGUGCAGUCACUCUGAUUUCCAUCAUGUACUUGUUGUUUGCAGCUUAUCUCAUUUUAUUCUGUCUUUGCACAAAUGUUCUGUGUUUCUGUUCAGCUAUCAUAUUGAUUCUGGCUUGUUUACUGAUUUUCCAACACUAAGACUUUACUGUCACACUGAGCUAAGAAGACGUGGACUUUGUGGAUUUAAUGCAGUGUGUGUAUUUGUAUGAAUGUGAGAGUGAUGAGUAUAUCUGGUUGUGCUUUUUAUACUCCACACUGUGAGAGGUGUCAUUGCGUUACAGUGAAGUUGAUCAGUUAGAUGAAAUGGACAUACCUUUUUAUGUUUUUUUUGUUUUUUUUUCUUACUCUCUAAAUGUCUAAUCUUUUCAUUUCACCGACUGACUUCCUCCAUAUUUUUGUACUCCCCUGCUCCUUCUUCUUGUCUUCUUCUCAACAUACUUUCUUCCUUCUUAGCCCCUGAUGGAUUCUCACCUCCAACUCUAUCCCAUGCAACUAAUGCCAGUCUGAACGUGUCCUGGUCCGCCCCUGUCAACUCUAAUGCACCAGGCCCACUCUACUACAGUCUGCAAAUGAGGACAUCCCCACAGAGGCCUAUCAUAAGGUGAGAGACACCAUAAAAUGCAGAGUCAAAGCAGAUGGACAAGUUUGCAAACCGUUUUCCACAAUGCAUAAAAGUUUUCUGAGAAGAGUAGCAAUAAAGUAACUGGACACACACACACAACAAAGUACACAUAUUACAUACUCUAAAUAUCAGAAAAUGUGCAUGUGCACAUAGCCUACACAUGCACAUAUAAAGGAGCACAUUAUACAGCACAACUGUGAAUAUGUCACUUCAGUAGGACAUAACAUCAGAAAUCC